rnacentral:rRNA from 1 species
GAAAACAGGCGAUAAAUCAUUCAAGUUUCUGACCUAUCAGCUUUCGACGGUAUGGUAUUGGCUUACCGUGGCAGUGACGGUUAACGGGGGAUUAGGGUUCGAUUCCGGAGAGGGAGCCUGAGAAACGGCUACCACAUCUAAGGAAGGCAGCAGGCGCGCAAAUUACCCAAUUCUAACAGUUUGAGAGAGGUAGUAACAAGAAAUAACAAUACAAGGCAGUUAAAAUGCUUUGUAAUUGGAAUGAUAGAAAUUUAAACCCUUUUUAAAGUAUCAAUUGGAGGGCAAGUCUGGUGCCAGCAGCCGCGGUAAUUCCAGCUCCAAUAGCGUAUAUUAAAAUUGUUGCAGUUAAAAAGCUCGUAGUUGAAGUUCUGCUGAAAGUAACCGGUCUGCUUUUAAUAAAAGUGGUAUCUUGGGAUGUAUUUAGCAAUGAUGUCCUUUGAAGUGUUUUUUACUUUAUUGUAAUAAAGCAUAUUCAGGACUUUUACUUUGAGAAAAUUAGAGUGUUUCUAGCAGGCUAACGCUUUGAAUACUG